ACCAAUUCCGGACACAUAACCAUGCCUAGGAAGGAAAGGAGUUGCUGUUUUGUAGAAGCGAUUGGGAUUUGGGAGAUUAGCUGGAUAUGAUCAGCAGGGAGAGCACGUGUGUUUUCAUGAGAAUUAUGCCAAGCUUCCCUUUGUGGCUAGAGUGAAGUAUACUGGUAUAAAGUGCUCUAAAAAUACAGAAACUGAGAGAAGAAGAAAUAUGAAAAAGAAAUGGAGAAAUGUGAGAGAGAAAACCAUUUACUGUGCGACAUUAGACUUCCUCGUGAUGAAGGAGGAGGAGAACAUUGGAUCUGAUAGGUGAUUCAAGUCUAAAAAUUGACUGAACUAAAAUUUAAAAGCCAAAAAAGGUGAAAGGUGAUGGAAUCUGUCUCAAGUAUGAAGAGUUCCUGUAACUUCAUAAGGAUGAAAGAUUUAACAGAGUACACUUAAGAGCAACAAGACAACUGUAAUCUUUUCACAUUUAUACCGCAGUGGACUGAGAUUCAACAAUCUGGUAAUGUUGUUCUCCUCCUACUCUUUUCCUUCUCCACCUGUGUCUGCUUUUUCUUCUCCUUAUUAUUAUUAUGUUGUUAUUCAUUAGUUACCAAAACCUGAAAUAUUUCUCAGGGUUCUUCAAGUGUAAUGCAAAUCUGGCUAUAAAUUGAGAUUUUCUACUCACCCUUUCAAUUCUUGAAAACACUAACUUAUAAACUUCCAAAACAUACAGGAGAUCCCUAAAUAGUAAACAUGGAGAAAUAACAUAGGUGUAAUGAUUUUAUUAAAUUAUAAUAACUAGAAACAAACCUCUGUAGUUUCUGAUUUCUUUGUUAGAUGCUUGAAAUUGCAAAGCCACACCCCAUAAACUUGCGAGGAUCCAUAGCUGUGGUCACCCCUCCUUCCCGCCAGAAUGAAUAACCAGCUGUGCUACUUGAAUUUCUAUUCAUUAGGAGAAUUUACCAUCAGCAUUGCCUUUCAGGGUCAUCCUGGAUUGGUGCAAUCGUACUCAAACUGUCCAUCUUUGCAUGGUGCCUACAUAUUGUGCAGAACCAUCUGGAAACCAAGCUUGAGUUUUUCUUCCUCAACCAACUGUUCAACGUAAAUGUGUGGAUUGAGAAAGAGAAGCCAGUGCAGCAGGAGUAUAUGAAGUGUGGAUUUGUGUUACUUCCUCAUUCACUUGUGCCUUCAGGGCAUGCUUAAAGCUGAUCUCAUAUAUGCUACUUUCAAUUUAUGGAGCACUGCUGUGAACGCCCAACUUUAUGGGUUGAGGAGUCAGACAAUACCCAGUUUCUGAUGGGCAGUUCAGGUCACAUAUUGACUUGAUAACCCAUGAUAAAGCAUUUGGUCUCUACGGAGUUCUGAUAACAAGACAAAGGCUAUUUUUCAAAAGAAGAGUGGUUAGGCAUAGAGUAGAAGAUAAUAUUGCUUAGCUCCCAAAUUCUAAGCCUUUGCCCUGUGAUCCAUCUAUAACUCCCUGUCAAAGCCUCCAUAAAGCAUCCUAUUUGCAACUUACAUCUCAAGCAACAACAGGUCUGUUAACUCACAUGGCCCAAAUUGUGGAGCAGCUUGCAUGGCAGCCUGAAUCUAUUGACAAGCCUUCUUUGGUUCUUGGGCUCGUACACUAGAAAAUCAAUCAAGGUCUCUGCAGCCUAGGACAUGACAUAGGCUGGAGAGUUGACAUAAUGCUAAAGUAGAGCAAGGGAGCCAAAUGCUAGUCCUUUUAACAGAAAUGAAACUGCUUUCGAUGAUCUUUAUUAAUAGGUAUGGAGAAAAAUGCAGUGUCCAGCUUAAUUGUCCCAGCUAUUGAGGAUCUGACUCCAAUAUAUAUAUAUUUUUGGGGGUUACAUAAUUCCAUUCAUAAUACCACCAGAGGCAUUGAACUUGAAUGGACCAGAGAGGACAGGCAAACUUCAUGAACAAGUAGUGCAGUUCUCCAUAAUACUGAGAAUGCUGCAUAAUUCUGAAUUCCUGAUACUGAAUUAUAGUUUAAGGAGACCAACCAGGCCUUUGGUGGAAAGUAGAUUACAUCACAUCAUUUCUGUCUUAGAAAGGCCAACAGUUCAUUCUCAUAGCUGUAGGCAUAUUUAAUAUAUGAACUUACAUUUUCUACCCAAACAACCUCAGCUAGCCAAUUAUCUGGAGGUUUACGCUAUACCUGAUACAUUGGUAUAAACUCCCAUAUGACAAGACAUGGCUAGUAACCAGGAAGAAUUUUCACGUGAAGGAGGCACAGCAGUGGUCCCAUAACCAUGGGUAUGGGUUCCACUGGCUAUGUCACAUACUGUAUCAUGCUAAUGCACCUAGUCUCAUACACUUUUGGAAUUGCCUACAAAAGGUACAGCUGAAGUAGUAGCAUUGAGAUAACAUUUUGUGAAGAAGAAAUUCCACCCUUCAGGAUGCAGUACAUGCAUCGAAUCAGAGAUCUCUCUAUGGCAUUGUGUCCAUAAUGAAAAGAAUAGAUAGGUCCAGGAAUGUAAGAUUACAAACAGGAGUGGCCCUUCUUUCACUGAUAUCCAAUAACCCCUAGGAAUUUUGUGCUUUUGGUCCCUCCAUGUUUGGGAUCUUCAGAACUGAAGCUAUUUAUCCCCCAAAUAGGUACAUUCUUGAUGUGGACAUCAUAAUAGUUCCAUUUAACUAUAAACUGCUGCUUUUGUCAGAGCAUUUUAUUCUGCAGCCAUCAGACAAGAAGUCACCAUCCUGACUGGGGUAAUUGACCCUACUCAGCCAGAGGACUUUGGGCUGUUUUACACAGUGAGGACAUGAAGAAAUACUUGUGGAUGCUAGUUGAUUUACUUGAGCCCUUUUCCAUACUUUCUGGACAUAUAAAGCAACUUGACCUGGGAAGAAUGGUUGCCAAAGGGCCUUACUACCUGGAAUAUAGGUUUCAUUCACACUACCACAUAAGACACCAAAACCUGUGGAGAUGAUAGCUGAAGGUGAGGAUUUAGAUAUACAGAGAAUGUAGAGUGUCCAAUAAGAGAUAAAGUACAUGAGUAACAGGUGUGUUCCCAAGAGCAACUGCAAGGACGAUGGCUACAAUUCAACUCACUAACUUUCCUUUGCUAAGUUCCCUCUUAGAGAACCAUGAAGUAGCUGCUUCCAAGUAUAGAUGAAGAAGUGGACCUAAGUAUAACAAGAGGUGAACUGUGAUGGCCAUGUAGGUGUGCUGCUGUAAUUUCCAUCAAGAGAACGGCUAGAAGAACAUAGUGGACUGACAGCUUCUAUCAGCUCCUGUCCGUUUGGAUCUGCUAUCAUGUUUAUGCUAAUACUUGCUCUUCUCACUGUCCAUCAAUGACUGAGAACAGUAGAUGGUUCAUGCCUGUAAUCCCAGCACUUUGGGAGGCUAAAGCAGGAGGAUCACUCAAGCCCAGGUGUUCCAGACCAGCCUGGGCAACAUAGUGAGACCGUAUCUCUACAAAAAGUAUGAAAAUUACUCUGGUGUGGUGGUGCACACCUGUAGUACCAGCUACUCAGGAGUCUGAGGCAGGAGAAUAAAUGGAGCCCAAGAGGUUGAGGCUACAGUGAGCCAUGGUCCUGCCAUUGCACUCCUGCCUGGGUGACAGAGCCAGAUGCUGAAGAAGAAAAGAAAAGAAAAGAAAAGAAAAGAAAAGAAAAG
rnacentral:lncRNA from 1 species